rnacentral:rRNA from 1 species
UACGUAGGGUGCAAGCGUUAAUCGGAAUUACUGGGCGUAAAGCGUGCGCAGGCGGUUUUGUAAGUCUGUCGUGAAAGCCCCGGGCUCAACCUGGGAAUUGCGAUGGAGACUGCAAGGCUUGAAUCUGGCAGAGGGGGGUAGAAUUCCACGUGUAGCAGUGAAAUGCGUAGAGAUGUGGAGGAACACCGAUGGCGAAGGCAGCCCCCUGGGUCAAGAUUGACGCUCAUGCACGAAAGCGUGGGGAGCAA